GUCAGGAUAGCUCAGUUGGUAGAGCAGAGGACUGAAAAUCCUCGUGUCACCAGUUUCAA
rnacentral:tRNA from 1 species